GCCAGCAGCCAUAUCACUCUACAACUCACAACUGGCAACCCACUGAAGCUCAGUAGGUGUGAGCAGGUGUGAUCCAGGUCAGUACCUAGAUGGGAGACCUCCUGGGAAAAACUAAGGUUGCUGCUGGAA
rnacentral:rRNA from 1 species